GGCUCAGUGGUGGAGCGCUUGCCUAGCAUGCAUGAGGCACUGGGUUCGAUCCCCAG
rnacentral:tRNA from 1 species